UACGGAGGGUGCAAGCGUUAUCCGGAUUCACUGGGUUUAAAGGGAGCGUAGGAGGGCAGGUAAGUCAGUGGUGAAAUCCCUGGGCUCAACCCAGGAACUGCGUCCGAUACUGGCAGGCUUGAAUCCGGGAGAGGGAUGCGGAAUUCCAGGUGUAGCGGUGAAAUGCGUAGAUAUCUGGAGGAACACCGGUGGCGAAGGCGGCAUCCUGGACCGGUAUUGACGCUGAGGCGCGAAAGCCAGGGGAGCAAACGGGG
rnacentral:rRNA from 1 species